rnacentral:rRNA from 1 species
AUUGAACGCUGGCGGCAGGCUUAACACAUGCAAGUCGAGCGGAGAGAGGUAGCUUGCUACUGAUCUUAGCGGCGGACGGGUGAGUAAUGCUUAGGAAUCUGCCUAUUAGUGGGGGACAACAUUUCGAAAGGAAUGCUAAUACCGCAUACGUCCUACGGGAGAAAGCAGGGGAUCUUCGGACCUUGCGCUAAUAGAUGAACCUAAGUCGGAUUAGCUAGUUGGUGGGGUAAAGGCCUACCAAGGCGACGAUCUGUAGCGGGACUGAGAGGAUGAUCCGCCACACUGGGACUGAGACACGGCCCAGACUCCUACGGGAGGCAGCAGUGGGGAAUAUUGGACAAUGGGCGGAAGCCUGAUCCAGCCAUGCCGCGUGUGUGAAGAAGGCCUUAUGGUUGUAAAGCACUUUAAGCGAGGAGGGGGCUACUUUAGUUAAUACCUAGAGAUAGUGGACGUUACUCGCAGAAUAAGCACCGGCUAACUCUGUGCCAGCCGCCGCCGUAACAC